UACGAAGGGGGCUAGCGUUGUUCGGACUUACUGGGCGUAAAGCGUGCGCAGGCGGCUUCUCAAGUCAGGGGUGAAAGCCCAGAGCUCAACUCUGGAAUUGCCUUUGAGACUGAGUGGCUUGAGUACGAGAGAGGUGAGUGGAAUUCCCAGUGUAGAGGUGAAAUUCGUAGAUAUUGGGAAGAACACCGGUGGCGAAGGCGGCUCACUGGCUCGUAACUGACGCUCAUGCACGACAGCGUGGGGAUCAAACAGG
rnacentral:rRNA from 1 species